AUGCGCUAUGAUGAGCGAUACACACCGUAUGUAAGGGAGACAGGACUUCUCCCUUUCAUUCAUAUGGUCAGACGGUCGACGCCACCCAACAAUGCUCCAGCACUCACCGCGCUUAUUGAUCAUUGGCGGCCGGAGACACAUAGUUUCCAUCUACGGACCGGGGAGAUGGCAGUGACGCUCCAGGAUAUUGCUAUGAUCACCGGUCUUCCUAUCGAUGGGAAUCCUCUAUGUAUGAGCACCGAUUCCGAUGGGUGGCGCGCGCAGAUGCAUGCCCUUAUCGGUAUGGUUCCUCCGGAGCCUCCGGAACCAGCAGCAGAAAACAAGAAGGAAAGAGUCGCAGCCGGUGCUACUUUCACGUGGAUUACUGAGCACUUUGGUACUUGCCCACCGGAAGCUGAUGAGGACACGGUCAAGACAUAUGCUCGUGUCUACAUGUGGUAUGUGAUAUCCAGGACUAUGUUUGCCGAUGGCACAGGCAAGAAUGCUCCAUGGAUGUGGCUGAAGGCGUUGACCGUCUUCGAUAGCAAAUGGAGUUGGGGUUCGGCGACACUGGCUUACUUGUAUAGACAGGUAUGA
rnacentral:rRNA from 1 species